CAGUGAAUAGGCCCAAGCGACUGUUUAUCAAAAACACAGGUCUCUGCUAAACCGUAAGGUGAUGUAUAGGGGCUGACGCCUGCCCGGUGCUGGAAGGUUAAGAGGAGUGGUUAGCUUCUGCGAAGCUACGAAUCGAAGCCCCAGUAAACGGCGGCCGUAACUAUAACGGUCCUAAGGUAGCGAAAUUCCUUGUCGGGUAAGUUCCGACCCGCACGAAAGGCGUAACGAUUUGGGCACUGUCUCAACGAGAGACUCGGUGAAAUCAUAGUACCUGUGAAGAUGCAGGUUACCCGCGACAGGACGGAAAGACCCCGUGGAGCUUUACUGUA
rnacentral:rRNA from 1 species